UGAGGAAUAUUGGUCAAUGGACGCAAGUCUGAACCAGCCAUGCCGCGUGAAGGAUGAAGGCCUUCUGGGUUGUAAACUUCUUUUAUGAGGGAAGAAACCCCAUUUUUCUAAAUGGGUUGACGGUACCUUAGGAAUAAGCACCGGCUAACUCCGUGCCAGCAGCCGCGGUAAUACGGAGGGUGCAAGCGUUAUCCGGAUUCACUGGGUUUAAAGGGUGUGUAGGCGGGCAUGUAAGUCAGUGGUGAAAUCUCCGGGCUCAACCCGGAAACUGCCAUUGAUACUAUAUGUCUUGAAUUUUGUUGAGGUUGGCGGAAUAAGUCAUGUAGCGGUGAAAUGCAUAGAUAUGACUUAGAACACCGAUUGCGAAGGCAGCUAACUAAACAAACAUUGACGCUGAGGCACGAAAGCGUGGGGAUCAAACAGGAUUAGAUACCCCCGUAGUCC
rnacentral:rRNA from 1 species